rnacentral:rRNA from 1 species
GGCCAGACUCCUACGGGAGGCAGCAGUGAGGAAUAUUGGUCAAUGGUCGGGAGACUGAACCAGCCAAGCCGCGUGAGGGAGGAAGGUACAGAGUAUCGUAAACCUCUUUUGUCAGGGAACAAAGGCGGGGACGUGUCCCCGGAUGAGUGUACCUGAAGAAAAAGCAUCGGCUAACUCCGUGCCAGCAGCCGCGGUAAUACGGAGGAUGCGAGCGUUAUCCGGAUUUAUUGGGUUUAAAGGGUGCGCAGGCGGCGGUUAAGUCCGGGGUUAAAUUUUCGGGGCCCCCCCCCGCCAAGCCGUUGAAACUGGCUUGCUAGAGUGGGCGAGAAGUAUGCGGAAUGCGUGGUGUAGCGGUGAAAUGCAUAGAUAUCACGCAGAACUCCGAUUGCGAAGGCAGCAUACCGGCGCCCAACUGACGCUCAGGCACGAAAGCGUGGGUAUCGAACAGGAUUAGAUACCCCGGUAC